rnacentral:rRNA from 1 species
ACGCUGGCGGCGUGCCUAAUACAUGCAAGUAGAACUUUGAAGCUUGGUGCUUGCACCGAGCGGAUGAGUUGCGAACGGGUGAGUAACGCGUAGGUAACCUGCCUCUUAGCGGGGGAUAACUAUUGGAAACGAUAGCUAAUACCGCAUAAAAGACGAUAUCGCAUGAUAUUGAUUUGAAAGGUGCAAAUGCAUCACUAAGAGAUGGACCUGCGUUGUAUUAGCUAGUUGGUGAGGUAACGGCUCACCAAGGCGACGAUACAUAGCCGACCUGAGAGGGUGAUCGGCCACACUGGGACUGAGACACGGCCCAGACUCCUACGGGAGGCAGCAGUAGGGAAUCUUCGGCAAUGGGGGCAACCCUGACCGAGCAACGCCGCGUGAGUGAAGAAGGUUUUCGGAUCGUAAAGCUCUGUUGUAAGAGAAGAACGAGUGUGAGAGUGGAAAGUUCACACUGUGACGGUAACUUACCAGAAAGGGACGGCUAACUACGUGCCAGCAGCCGCGGUAAUACGUAGGUCCCGAGCGUUAUCCGGAUUUAUUGGGCGUAAAGCGAGCGCAGGCGGUUAGAUAAGUCUGAAGUUAAAGGCUGUGGCUUAACCACAGUACGCUUUGGAAACUGUUUAACUUGAGUGCAGAAGGGGAGAGUGGAAUUCCAUGUGUAGCGGUGAAAUGCGUAGAUAUAUGGAGGAACACCGGUGGCGAAAGCGGCUCUCUGGUCUGUAACUGACGCUGAGGCUCGAAAGCGUG